CAGUAGCCACGGUAAUACGUAGGUGGCAAGCGUUGUCCGGAUUUACUGGGCGUAAAGGGCGUGUAGGCGGCCUGGGGCGUCCCAUGUGAAAGGCCACGGCUCAACCGUGGAGGAGCGUGGGAUACGCUCAGGCUAGAGGGUGGGAGAGGGUGGUGGAAUUCCCGGAGUAGCGGUGAAAUGCGCAGAUACCGGGAGGAACGCCGAUGGCGAAGGCAGCCACCUGGUCCACUUCUGACGCUGAGGCGCGAAAGCGUGGGGAGCAAACGGGAUUAGAUACCCCCGUAGUCCCUGUCUCUUAUAC
rnacentral:rRNA from 1 species